AUGCCCGCGGCUCACAGAUCUCUCCCGUCCCCUCCUCCCCUCGCAACGGCCGCCCUGCUUGCGGUGUUCCAGCGGUGGGGUCUCCGAUACGGCCUGACGGUGAACCCGGGGCGCCCGUGCGGGACGCGGGACUGGAUCUACUCCUUCGCGCAGAACGCAUCCGUCGACUGCAGCUGCGACGGCUCGCCCGUGUGUCGCAUCACACACCUGUUCAUGCCCCGUCUUCCCGGCUCAUCCGAGGCCUCUGGGAACAUCACCGGAUUCUGGAAUCUGACCGAGAUCCCGCUGGAGCUCUUCAACUUAACGGAGCUGAUCAAGGUACCUAACAACUACCAGCAGUUCAUCAGCAUCCUGACUGGCCAUGUUAACUCUGCCUCCUACUUCUCGACGGACACCGCAUCCUUCCCUGGUAGGCUUCCAAUGGACGCCUGCCUAUGCCCUGCUGCUUCCGCGCCGAUGCCGGCCACCGCGCCCAGUCGCCACGACCAGCGACAGCAGUCUCCUCGGCGGCUGACGGUGUGCAGGUGUGCACCCUGGCCCUGGGGCCUGGAGACGUGCAUCGUAGAAGGCCAACAGCUAGGAGCUGAGCAGCCGUACAAAGCCGAAGGUGUCAGAGUAGCAGCGAGCAACAUAACUUUUCUCGCAGAAGGUGAAGAGGUCGUCGUUCUGCACGUCGGACAAGGUUCUUCAGCUGUCGGACGAGGUGGAGGCACUCUUCCUGAAGCACUUCGCGGGCAACAACACGAGGUGCAGAGCUAUAGUGCUCUUGGACUAUCAUCCAAUUGCUUGCUGUUGCUGCAUACAUAUGGUGGCCUCUAUUCAUGUUUCGUCGUGAGCUCUAGGAUGAAGAAGUUGGAAGAAGCAAUGCAUGCCGGAUCUAGGCAUGCAUGCAUGCUCUAG
rnacentral:rRNA from 1 species